rnacentral:rRNA from 1 species
UACGAAGGGUGCAAGCGUUACUCGGAAUUACUGGGCGUAAAGCGUGCGCAGGCGGUUCGUUGUGUCGGCGGUGAAAGCCCCGGGCUUAACCUGGGAAUGGCCGUCGAAACUGGCGAACUGGAGUGUGGCAGAGGGGGGUGGAAUUCCGCGUGUGAGCAGUGAAAUGCGUAGAGAUGCGGAGGAACACCGAUGGCGAAGGCAGCCCCUGGGCUGACACUGACGCUCAGGCACGAAAGCGUGGGGAGCAAACAGG